GCACUACUUGGACAAAGCUAUGGGGUACAAGAACAGCAACACUACACAAGAAAACUCCAAGAAUUAAGUAAAGAGGAAUUAUUAGACGUUCAGUAUGGAAAGCAAAGUUCUCAAAUGAUUAGUGAGCUUCUAGCACCUCAAGGAGCCGUACAAUCGUACACAGAACUCAUGCAACAGAUGACUGUGGUGAGUCAUCCUCAGAGUGACAACAUGGCAAUCCCUAUAACAAGUUUCACUUCGCUAUUGACAACAAGCAUAAAUGCUUAGCAUCAAAAUCCAAUUACAAGCACCCAACGGGUUGAAGAAGAAGAAGAUGAUGAAGGAGAUGAAGCACAUGACUAUAAUUCUGAAUGCAACAGUGAUGAAAAUGAAACUGAUCCAAACGAAGAUUACCUAGAAUUCAGUAGUGAACAGAAUGAAAGUGAUGCAGAGGAAGAUUACCUGGAACAAAAUACAGUGAGUUGUGGUCAUUUCGGU